rnacentral:rRNA from 1 species
GACGAACCGUGCGAACGUUGUUCGGAAUCACUGGGCUUAAAGGGCGCGUAGGCGGGCUUGCCGGUCCGGGGUGAAAGCCCCCAGCUCAACUGGGGAAGCGCCUUGGAUACUGCAAGCCUGGAGGGAGGUAGGGGCGUGCGGAACUUCCGGUGGAGCGGUGAAAUGCGUAGAUAUCGGAAGGAACACCGGUGGCGAAAGCGGCGCGCUGGACCUCUUCUGACGCUGAGGCGCGAAAGCCAGGGGAGCAAACGGG